UAGGGAAUCUUCCACAAUGGACGAAAGUCUGAUGGAGCAACGCCGCGUGAGUGAAGAAGGUUUUCGGAUCGUAAAGCUCUGUUGUUGGUGAAGAAGGAUAGAGGCAGUAACUGGUCUUUAUUUGACGGUAAUCAACCAGAAAGUCACGGCUAACUACGUACCAG
rnacentral:rRNA from 1 species